GAAUUGCGAUAAGUAAUGUGAAUUGCAGAAUUCAGUGAAUCAUCAAAUCUUUGAACGCACAUUGCGCUCCUUGGUAUUCCGGGGAGCAUGCCUGUUUGAGAAUCAAUAAAUCUCUCACCCGCCCGUUCUGUUUGACUCGUUCAUUCGGGACGGUUAGGGUGGAUUUGAGUCCUUUGCGUUCCUUCUGGAAAGCAAUGACUUUAAAUUCAAUGUCUGCAGCUUACCUUUUCGUGAGGGAUGGCUUUGAGUGCAUGAACUGUUUUCAUUAACUUAGAUUUCACUCUUAUGAGCCUUUCUUGGGAGGAGGUGCCGUUGGACCCAACCAUUACAUCUUUGCAAGGUCGAAAAGCUUUUCGACACCGCAUCGAAUACUUGGUCUCAAAUCAGGUAGGAAAACCCG
rnacentral:misc_RNA from 1 species